CCUACGGGUGGCAGCAGUGGGGAAUAUUGGGCAAUGGGCGCAAGCCUGACCCAGCAACGCCGCGUGAAGGAAGAAGGCUUUCGGGUUGUAAACUUCUUUUAUCAGGGACGAAGCAAGUGACGGUACCUGAUGAAUAAGCCACGGCUAACUACGUGCCAGCAGCCGCGGUAAUACGUAGGUGGCAAGCGUUAUCCGGAUUUACUGGGUGUAAAGGGCGGGUAGGCGGGAGUGCAAGUCAGAUGUGAAAACUAUGGGCUCAACCCAUAGCCUGCAUUUGAAACUGUACUUCUUGAGUGUUGGAGAGGCAAGCGGAAUGCCGUGUGUAGCGGUGAAAUGCGUAGAGAUAAGGAGGAACACCAGUGGCGAAGGCGGAUUGCUGGACAGUAACUGACGCUGAGGCGCGAAAGCGUGGGGAGCAAACAGGAUUAGAUACCCGGGUAGUC
rnacentral:rRNA from 1 species